CCCCGGUGCAGUGUCCGUUCAAUGGUUUUACUAAGUAUUACAUAAAUUAAUAUUUAUGGAACUAAAGCACAGAAUUACGUAAUGUUGCGUUCUAACAGGCUGCUAGAUGGCUUGCUCUAGACAGAACCAUUAGCGGAUUUAUUUUUAAUUGGAGCAUUGUCUGUAUGGUAAUUUGAGCGGUAAUGGGAAUUCUGGUAUAUUUUGG